rnacentral:misc_RNA from 1 species
GGAAGGAUCAUUACCGAGAGUUGUAGGCUUCUGUCUACCAUCUCUUACCCAUGUCUUUUGCGUACUACACGUUUCCUCGGCAGGUCCGCCUGCCGUUAGGACAAUUUAAACCAUUUGCAGUUGCAGUCAGCGUCUGAAAAACUUAAUAAUUACAACUUUUAACAACGGAUCUCUUGGUUCUGGCAUCGAUGAAGAACGCAGCGAAAUGCGAUAAGUAGUGUGAAUUGCAGAAUUCAGUGAAUCAUCGAAUCUUUGAACGCACAUUGCGCCCCUUGGUAUUCCAUGGGGCAUGCCUGUUCGAGCGUCAUUUGUACCUUCAAGCUCUGCUUGGUGUUGGGUGUUUGUCCCGCCUCUGUGCGUGGACUCGCCUUAAAGCAAUUGGCAGCCGACGUAUUGUUUCGGAGCGCAGCACAAAUUGCGCUUUGUAGCUAUUACGACAGCAUCCAUCAAGCCUUUUUUCACGCUUGACCUCGGAUCAGGUAGGGAUACCCGCUGAACUUAAGCAUAUCAAUAAGCGGAGGAAAAGAAACCAACAGGGAUUGCCCUAGUAACGGCGAGUGAAGCGGCAACAGCUCAAAUUUGAAAUCUGGCGUCUUUGGCGUCCGAGUUGUAAUUUGCAGAGGGCGCUUUGGCGUUGGCAGCGGUCCAAGUUCCUUGGAACAGGACGUCACAGAGGGUGAGAAUCCCGUACGUGGUCGCUGGCCUUCGCCGUGUAAAGCCCCUUCGACGAGUCGAGUUGUUUGGGAAUGCAGCUCUAAAUGGGAGGUAAAUUUCUUCUAAAGCUAAAUACUGGCCAGAGACCGAUAGCGCACAAGUAGAGUGAUCGAAAGAUGAAAAGCACUUUGGAAAGAGAGUCAAACAGCACGUGAAAUUGUUAAAAGGGAAGCGCUUGCAACCAGACUUGCCUGCAGUUGCUCAUCUGGACUUUUGUCCAGUGCAUUCUUCUGUAGGCAGGCCAGCAUCAGUUUGGGCGGUUAGAUAAAGGUCUCUGUCAUGUACCUCUCUUCGGGGAGAACUUAUAGGGGAGACGACAUGUAACCAGCCUGGACUGAGGUCCGCGCAUUUGCUAGGAUGCUGGCGUAAUGGUUGUAAGCGGCCCGUCUUGAAACACGGACCAAGGAGUCUAACAUCUAUGCGAGUGUUUGGGUGUCAAGCCCGAGCGCGCAAUGAAAGUGAACGGAGGUGGGAACCCGCAAGGGUGCACCAUCGACCGAUCCUGAUGUCUUCGGAUGGAUUUGAGUAAGAGCAUAGCUGUUGGGACCCGAAAGAUGGUGAACUAUGCUUGAAUAGGGUGAAGCCAGAGGAAACUCUGGUGGAGGCUCGCAGCGGUUCUGACGUGCAAAUCGAUCGUCAAAUUUGGGCAUAGGGGCGAAAGACUAAUCGAACUAUCUAGUAGCUGGUUCCUGC